GUGGGAAGCGCACGGCCGCAAAUCUGACUUCGUCACCGAUUGGGUGACUCGAGAUUGCGGAAGUGC
rnacentral:ncRNA from 1 species